AGUGAACGCUGGCGGUAGGCCUAACACAUGCAAGUCGAACGGCAGCACAGUAAGAGCUUGCUCUUACGGGUGGCGAGUGGCGGACGGGUGAGGAGUACAUCGGAAUCUACUUUUUCGUGGGGGAUAACGUAGGGAAACUUACGCUAAUACCGCAUACGACCUACGGGUGAAAGCAGGGGAUCUUCGGACCUUGCGCGAUUGAAUGAGCCGAUGCCGGAUUAGCUAGUUGGCGGGGUAAAGGCCCACCAAGGCGACGAUCCGUAGCUGGUCUGAGAGGAUGAUCAGCCACACUGGAACUGAGACACGGUCCAGACUCCUACGGGAGGCAGCAGUGGGGAAUAUUGGACAAUGGGCGCAAGCCUGAUCCAGCCAUACCGCGUGGGUGAAGAAGGCCUUCGGGUUGUAAAGCCCUUUUGUUGGGAAAGAAAAGCAGCAGGUUAAUACCCCGCUGUUCUGACGGUACCCAAAGAAUAAGCACCGGCUAACUUCGUG
rnacentral:rRNA from 1 species